rnacentral:rRNA from 1 species
UCCUGUCUGAAUAUGGGGGGACCAUCCUCCAAGGCUAAAUACUCCUGACUGACCGAUAGUGAACCAGUACCGUGAGGGAAAGGCGAAAAGAACCCCGGCGAGGGGAGUGAAAAAGAACCUGAAACCGUGUACGUACAAGCAGUGGGAGCACAGAGCAAUCUGUGUGACUGCGUACCUUUUGUAUAAUGGGUCAGCGACUUAUAUUCUGUAGCAAGGUUAACCGAAUAGGGGAGCCGAAGGGAAACCGAGUCUUAACUGGGCGUUAAGUUGCAGGGUAUAGACCCGAAACCCGGUGAUCUAGCCAUGGGCAGGUUGAAGGUUGGGUAACACUAACUGGAGGACCGAACCGACUAAUGUUGAAAAAUUAGCGGAUGACUUGUGGCUGGGGGUGAAAGGCCAAUCAAACCGGGAGAUAGCUGGUUCUCCCCGAAAGCUAUUUAGGUAGCGCCUCGUGAAUUCAUCUCCGGGGGUAGAGCACUGUUUCGGCAAGGGGGUCAUCCCGACUUACCAACCCGAUGCAAACUGCGAAUACCGGAGAAUGUUAUCACGGGAGACACACGGCGGGUGCUAACGUCCGUCGUGAAGAGGGAAACAACCCAGACCGCCAGCUAAGGUCCCAAAGUCAUGGUUAAGUGGGAAACGAUGUGGGAAGGCCCAGACAGCCAGGAUGUUGGCUUAGAAGCAGCCAUCAUUUAAAGAAAGCGUAAUAGCUCACUGGUCGAGUCGGCCUGCGCGGAAGAUGUAACGGGGCUAAACCAUGCACCGAAGCUGCGGCAGCGACGCUUAUGCGUUGUUGGGUA